rnacentral:lncRNA from 1 species
CUCCAAUCCUGCUGUUCUUUCACUUCUAAGUCAAGGAAACUCCAAGUUUACACUUUGCAGGAGCCCCUGGAAUAUUUGGGGUUUCAUAUUGCACAUCAAAACUAUUUCUCACUGACCCAAUCAUCUAUUAAAAAUCUUGUUGAAUUUCUGCCAUUUUAAUGGCUAUCUGCCUUCAUAUGAAGUUCUUGGUAUUAUAAUAGUCAGUGUGCUUCCAAAUUAAUCCCAAUUCGUUUACUUUUACUUUAAGAUGAAAUGUAGGCAGAGCACAGUGGCUCACACCUGUAAUCCCAGCACUUUGGGAGGCCAAGGCGGGUGGAUCAUGAGGUCAGGAGUUCAAGACCAGCCUGGCCAACAUAGUGAAACCCUGUCUCUACUAAAAAUAGAAAAAAAAAAAACAGCCAGGCAUCGUGGCAGGCACCUGUAAUCCCAGCUACUUGGGAUUCUGAGGCAAGGAGAAUCGUUUGAACCUGGGAGGUGGUGGAGGUUGCAAUGAGCCGAAGUCGCGCCACUGCACUCCAGCCUGGGUGACAGUGCAAGACUCCGUCUCAAAAAAAAAAAAAAAAAAAGAAGAAGAAAUGUAGCUUAGAAACCAUUCUUCCAUAAAACCAAAACCAUAUCUCCUUAAGAGGAUGUUGGAAAAUCAGCCUUUCUCAUAAAGUAGUUUUCCCCACAAGUUUAAACACAUUACUCCACUAUAAGUUUAGAGACUAUUUUAAAAAACUAUUAUGCUUCAGCUUUUCCUGCAGUUCUCUCUUUCUUGUCUCUUACAUACUUCUCUGUGAUCUGGUCCAACAAUUAUUGCCAUGGCAACAAAGGCUCUGUGACAUCUCUAGCAAGCUCAUUGUCUUCUGCCUUAUUAAACUUUAAUGGGUAACUAGUAGACAGUAACACUCUGGGAGGGCUCAAACCACAUAACCAAAUGUGCCAAGAUAAUCCUGAGCUCACUAUUGUCAGUCCUGAAGAUUUUCCUCAGAUAAUCUUUCAUCUCUUUGUUCCUGAGACUAUAUAUUAGAGGAUUACAGAGUGGUGUUAUCACAGAAAAGAACAAGUGGAUUUUUAUCUGAGAUCUACAACUUAUGAAGAAUACAAAUGAUGUAUAUUCUUUUCUACUCUUCAUGUAUGGACUAGAGGGGCUUGCACAUAAGAAAAAAAUGGCUGAGACCCACAGGAACAAAGAAACAGGACAGGAGUUAGAUGCAGAGAAGAGAUUUCAACAAAAGUUUGGAAAAGAUGCUAACGGUAGCAUAUGAGUCACAGACAGAACAUUGGCACCUUUGUUUAAGAAACUGAAUGUUAAUGUCACAUCUGCCUUUGGAGAUUACAAAUGAAAUGGCUACCUUUCUACUGGAACCCUGACCAGAAGUCUGCCAGUUAGUAAGCUGGCUUAAGAGAUCAAUCUAAAAUUUACAUAAGGCUUUUGAAAAAAAGAAAAAAGAACCCAAAGGCACAGAUUGACGUUAUAAGUCCUGAUUUUUGACUUGACUUCUCAUCACCUGGAAGUGAAUAAAGCAGUAGACUUCUCUAACAUUUUGUAACACAGCAUGAAAAAAUAUAGAGUACAAAAGAUAUAUAUAUAUAAUAUGAUAAAAUGAUGAGUUACGUUUCUAAAUCUUUUAUCAUCUUACUGUCAUUUCUCUAUAUUUGGUCUAGCCAGACUUCUAUUCAUUUUGUCACUUAUCUUUCAUCAAACUAGGGCUGAUGCUCUUGGGAAAGGGACCACUGAUUUGAUAUGCUCUUCAAACACCAGCACACUGUACUAUAUAGAAAGAUAUUCACUGAAAAUACUGAAGCUAGUAAUACAAAGGAAAAAGGCAUAAAAAUAGUGUGAUAACUAAUUGCUUACUUAAGAAUAUUAUCUGAAAUUAGAAACUAAUAUCAAUGAAGAAAAGGGGAACUUUUGGCAAACUCUAGUAAGUAAUAACUGAGCCUGAUUCAUGGAGGCCAUAAUUGGAAUAAGGACUGAGAGCAAUUUCACCCCUUGGAGGACAUUUGGAAGUGCCCAGAGACAUUUUUGGUGGUCACAACUGAGGACAUAUAUUGGCAUCUUGUACUGUUUAGACAUCUUACAAUGCACAGGACAGCCCCCAG